rnacentral:rRNA from 1 species
GUUAAACUCAAAUGAAUGACGGGGGCCGCACAAGCGGUGGAGCAUGUGGUUUAAUUCGAUGCAACGCGAAGAACCUUACCUACUCUUGACAUCCAGAGAACUUUCCAGAGAUGGAUUGGUGCCUUCGGGAACUCUGAGACAGGUGCUGCAUGGCUGUCGUCAGCUCGUGUUGUGAAAUGUUGGGUUAAGUCCCGCAACGAGCGCAACCCUUAUCCUUUGUUGCCAGCGGUUAGGCCGGGAACUCAAAGGAGACUGCCAGUGAUAAACUGGAGGAAGGUGGGGAUGACGUCAAGUCAUCAUGGCCCUUACGAGUAGGGCUACACACGUGCUACAAUGGCGCAUACAAAGAGAAGCGACCUCGCGAGAGCAAGCGGACCUCAUAAAGUGCGUCGUAGUCCGGAUUGGAGUCUGCAACUCGAUUCCAUGAAGUCGGAAUCGCUAGUAAUCGUAGAUCAGAAUGCUACGGUGAAUACGUUCCCGGGCCUUGUACACACCGCCCGUCACACCAUGGGAGUGGGUUGCAAAAGAAGUAGGUAGCUUAACCUUCGGGAGGGCGCUUACCACUUUGUGAUUCAUGACUGGGGUGAAGUCGUAACAAGGUAACCAAGGGCGAAUUCUG